UACGGAGGGUGCAAGCGUUAUCCGGAUUCACUGGGUUUAAAGGGUGCGUAGGUGGGUUGGUAAGUCAGUGGUGAAAUCUCCGUGCUUAACAGGGAAACUGCCAUUGAUACUACUGAUCUUGAAUUUUCAGGAGGUAAGCGGAAUAUGUCAUGUAGCGGUGAAAUGCUUAGAUAUGACAUAGAACACCAAUUGCGAAGGCAGCUUACUACAGGAAUAUUGACACUGAUGCACGAAAGCGUGGGGAUCAAACAGG
rnacentral:rRNA from 1 species